rnacentral:rRNA from 1 species
UACGUAGGUGGCGAGCGUUGUCCGGAUUUAUUGGGUUUAAAGGGUGCGUAGGCGGCCCUAUAAGUCAGUGGUGAAAUAUCGCAGCUUAACUGUGAGGGUGCCAUUGAUACUGUAGGGCUUGAGUGAAUUUGAGGUAGGCGGAAUUGACGGUGUAGCGGUGAAAUGCUUAGAUAUCGUCAAGAACACCGAUAGUGAAGACAGCUUACCAAGCUUCAACUGACGCUGAGGCACGAAAGUGUGGGGGAUCAAACAGG